rnacentral:tRNA from 1 species
GCAGUCGUGGCCGAGUGGCUAAGGCGAUGGACUAGAAAUCCAUUGGGGUCUCCCCGCACAGGUUCGAAUCCUGUUGACUGCG